rnacentral:rRNA from 1 species
UACGUAGGGUCCGAGCGUUGUCCGGAAUUAUUGGGCGUAAAGAGCUCGUAGGCGGUUUGUCGCGUCUGCUGUGAAAUCCCGAGGCUCAACCUCGGGUCUGCAGUGGGUACGGGCAGACUGGAGUGCGGUAGGGGAGAAUGGAAUUCCUGGUGUAGCGGUGGAAUGCGCAGAUAUCAGGAGGAACACCGAUGGCGAAGGCAGUUCGCUGGGACGUUACUGACGCUGAGACGCGAAAGCGUGGGGAGCAAACAGG